rnacentral:piRNA from 1 species
UAGAUUAGGAGGGAUGCCAGAGUAA